GCCCCAGGGAUGGUUGGGGGGCGGCGUCAUUCUAGAAUUAGGGAGUGUGGCACUGGCCCAGUCGCUCUCCCACUUCCUGCACGAGCUGCUGUGUCCAAACCUUGACAGCGCCUGGUCCAAUGCAUCUGAUUCGGGGCAGAUCCCAGAGCAGCUGCAAGAGGACUGAGAUAAGGCUCAUACGAUUGCUUAUUUUGGGCUUCUCUGCACUGGAGAUUUUCCUGUGGUCACUGCCAGAGCACAGCCCUUCAGCUGGAAACUGUGAGGCAAAGUUAAAAGCCACUGACUGGAUAUUCAUCUGGAGAGACCUCGCACAGAGCAAAAUAUUAGACAUGAAAGGAUAGCAUUUUGUUUAAGAUAAGGUCUAAUCUCUUCCCUUUGUGAGCAAAAUUUCUGAACCAAAUCUGAGCACUCACACUCACAAGUUAAAGCUGUUUAACUUUCGCUCUCAGCUAGGUGGGCAGCAAUGCAAAUACCCAGAGCUAAAUCUGCAUGGCAGUCCUGAGCACAGCAUGCAGAUGCAGUAAGGGGGAGGCUGACUACCAACAAAAUAUUCAGGACCCGCAUCUGAUUAAGUACAGUCUUGAACUUUCAUAGACCUUGCUGUGUACCCAUCACACUACAUGACUCCUUGAAAAGCCACAGUCUGCAGCAUUUUACAGUGAUGCUCAGCAGUGGGACUGGUUCCUGUUUAUCAACACGUUCUUGAGAAAGACAUCCUAUCACUUAAAAUUUGAUGAGAGUAUGUUAGAAGAUGCUUGUCCCAAAGUUCUUGUUGAGAAGCAUGACUGAGCACACACAGCUCAUAAAUAACCCUUUCUUUAUUGUUGUUGUAGCUAGGUGUUGCUGAUGGACUCCCUGGAGCUUCACAAAGCAUUGGCCAUGCAAACGGCCAGAUUCCUGGUUUGGUGGGUUGAGGCACAGAGUAAUAAAUUGCAUAAUGUGAGUAAGUUGGCAUGUAUGUUCCCAGUGAGGAUUAUACAUCCAUAACUGGAACCUUUAUGGUAACUAGAAUGGGAAAUGAUUGGGGUUGCAUCAAGAAUAGAGCACCUUUGUUUUACGGCUGAUGGGACUUGGAUUUAUUGGAAACAGAGGGCAGACUGUUGACAUUGGCUGUAUAGGAGACAUGAAGGAGUCUCCCACAAACAGAGGACCCUUCGAGUAUACCAUAUCAGUCAUCCAUAAAAGUUAUCACUUUAUCAUCCUUGCUCUGGAUUCAUUGCAGGCAUCAGUUUCUCUAUUUUACAGCCUAGACAGAUUUUACUUUGAGUGUGUUUAAGAACCCAGAGGGCCAUAUUUUUUGUCAGUUUGUGUUUUUAACACGCUGAUGGAUAGUAUUGCGCUUCUGGUUCCUCCCUGAAUUUACAGUUUUCCAUUCACCAUAGGGAACUCUCUUUUCUUAACAACCUGUGGGACUGUUGAGCUGUGAAUGACAGAGAUUAAAAAAUUAUGGGCAAGAUUUUUCGUUGUUCUUUCAUGACACACUCCAUUUUUUUCACUGCAAGAGUGGGAUGCUUUCAAAACUGACUCAGAUAAAUAAAAAAUGAGCUAGACAUCCUCCUGCAGACAGGGACUCUGAGAGGAAAUAGCUAUAUAUUUCUUGUACUACUUGUUGAAUUACUGAAUAUAAUCUGAUGGACAUAUCUUCAGCUUCUGUAAGCCAAGGUGGGAGCUUAAACUUCACUGCACUACAUCAGACGAGGAUUUGGCUCUCCUGCCUGUCUCAGCCUCUAACCACAUUGCUGGUGGUUUACAGAUUAAACGGUCCAUCAUAUGAGGAUGGAAAUUCCUGGAUCUGCUAGCUGAUAUGCACAAUGAGGACUGUCAGACUCCAAAACAGGGUCUGGCUUUUGCUGCACUGCAGGAGGGUUUAAUUCCUGGGCUCCCACCAGCAGCAGGAGACACGUGGACGAUGCCACCACCACUGCCAUGCUGCAGCUCCCACCUGCUACUGCCAAUAUCUCAGCGUUUUAAGAGAAAAAGCAAUGGUUUUGAAGUGGAUCUAAGCUUUUCCUGACACCAACAUUGUAAUUGUAAGAAACAGAUUUACAAAGGCCCACAGAGGAUCACUUAACGACAGUGUCAAGCAGCUUUACCUGCAUCUUUCCUGAAGGACAUCUGGAUAACUUCUUCAGAAUUUGUAGUGGUGGGGAUUUGCAGGCUCCCCCCUGAGCCUGUCUCUGCAUUGUCCCUGCAAUUAGAAGCUUUUUCCUGAUGCCUGGCUGAAAUCACCUUCUCUUCUGCUAAGCCUAUUACAACUUGUCCUAAUCCCGGGGAAUACAAAAAGAUUCAUUCUUUCUUCCUUAGAGCUACCUUUUACAAAUUUGGAUACUAUCUCACCACAAUCCUCUUUUCUAGUCUAAGCAAUAACAAACCCUUUAGCUUUUCCUUGCAGUUCAUGAAUUCUGAACCUCCGAUCAAUCUUGUUCUCUCAGUUCUUUCCAUCUGGUCCAUAGCCUUUCUAAACCACAAUUUCCAAAGCGCAGUACGUUUUGUUUGCGAGGACCACGUGCACAUGUUUCACUUCCUUUCACACCCCACCUCCAAAACAACUGUUUUCCUGCUUUUUUUACUAGCUGCAGAAGGGAGGGUACAGGGAGGCUGGCAGCCCAACGUUAGCAUUUUACAAAACAUUGGUUGUUUCUCGUGAUGUGGAAAGACACAUAGCAAGGAGAAAUGAAUUAAUUUCAUGUUUCCUAAGUGCCAUCAUAACUGCUGAAACCACAAAAUGUAUGUAAAGCUAUUAAAAUAUUUGAAUAGUGUAAGUUUAGGUAAGAUUUCAGCAGAUAUCUGUACUGCGCUUGUUUCUCAAUGUGAAAGCUGUGACCCAGCACUUCUACUGAAUCAGCAAGUUAUUGGCCCUGUUAUUGAGAACAGUGCUCUCAGGCUAAGGGUUAUUGCUUUUAAGUUAGCACAAAGGUGAUCACCACUGAUGUGUAUACGCUUGGAGGGAAAACUAAACCAUUGGAUAGUAGAAUCAUAGAAUCAUCAAGUCAUAGAAUCA